GGUUAAGCGACUAAGCGUACACGGUGGAUGCCCUGGCAGUCAGAGGCGAUGAAGGACGUGCUAAUCUGCGAUAAGCGUCGGUAAGGUGAUAUGAACCGUUAUAACCGGCGAUUUCCGAAUGGGGAAACCCAGUGUGUUUCGACACACUAUCAUUAACUGAAUCCAUAGGUUAAUGAGGCGAACCGGGGGAACUGAAACAUCUAAGUACCCCGAGGAAAAGAAAUCAACCGAGAUUCCCCCAGUAGCGGCGAGCGAACGGGGAGCAGCCCAGAGCCUGAAUCAGUGUGUGUGUUAGUGGAAGCGUCUGGAAAGGCGCGCGAUACAGGGUGACAGCCCCGUACACAAAAAUGCACAUGCUGUGAGCUCGAUGAGUAGGGCGGGACACGUGGUAUCCUGUCUGAAUAUGGGGGGACCAUCCUCCAAGGCUAAAUACUCCUGACUGACCGAUAGUGAACCAGUACCGUGAGGGAAAGGCGAAAAGAACCCCGGCGAGGGGAGUGAAAAAGAACCUGAAACCGUGUACGUACAAGCAGUGGGAGCACGCUUAGGCGUGUGACUGCGUACCUUUUGUAUAAUGGGUCAGCGACUUAUAUUCUGUAGCAAGGUUAACCGAAUAGGGGAGCCGAAGGGAAACCGAGUCUUAACUGGGCGUUAAGUUGCAGGGUAUAGACCCGAAACCCGGUGAUCUAGCCAUGGGCAGGUUGAAGGUUGGGUAACACUAACUGGAGGACCGAACCGACUAAUGUUGAAAAAUUAGCGGAUGACUUGUGGCUGGGGGUGAAAGGCCAAUCAAACCGGGAGAUAGCUGGUUCUCCCCGAAAGCUAUUUAGGUAGCGCCUCGUGAAUUCAUCUCCGGGGGUAGAGCACUGUUUCGGCAAGGGGGUCAUCCCGACUUACCAACCCGAUGCAAACUGCGAAUACCGGAGAAUGUUAUCACGGGAGACACACGGCGGGUGCUAACGUCCGUCGUGAAGAGGGAAACAACCCAGACCGCCAGCUAAGGUCCCAAAGUCAUGGUUAAGUGGGAAACGAUGUGGGAAGGCCCAGACAGCCAGGAUGUUGGCUUAGAAGCAGCCAUCAUUUAAAGAAAGCGUAAUAGCUCACUGGUCGAGUCGGCCUGCGCGGAAGAUGUAACGGGGCUAAACCAUGCACCGAAGCUGCGGCAGCGACGCUUAUGCGUUGUUGGGUAGGGGAGCGUUCUGUAAGCCUGUGAAGGUGUGCUGUGAGGCAUGCUGGAGGUAUCAGAAGUGCGAAUGCUGACAUAAGUAACGAUAAAGCGGGUGAAAAGCCCGCUCGCCGGAAGACCAAGGGUUCCUGUCCAACGUUAAUCGGGGCAGGGUGAGUCGACCCCUAAGGCGAGGCCGAAAGGCGUAGUCGAUGGGAAACAGGUUAAUAUUCCUGUACUUGGUGUUACUGCGAAGGGGGGACGGAGAAGGCUAUGUUGGCCGGGCGACGGUUGUCCCGGUUUAAGCGUGUAGGCUGGUUUUCCAGGCAAAUCCGGAAAAUCAAGGCUGAGGCGUGAUGACGAGGCACUACGGUGCUGAAGCAACAAAUGCCCUGCUUCCAGGAAAAGCCUCUAAGCAUCAGGUAACAUCAAAUCGUACCCCAAACCGACACAGGUGGUCAGGUAGAGAAUACCAAGGCGCUUGAGAGAACUCGGGUGAAGGAACUAGGCAAAAUGGUGCCGUAACU
rnacentral:rRNA from 1 species